rnacentral:lncRNA from 1 species
GGAGUGGGGCGGAGCCAUCCUGGAAGCGCGAAUCUGGUACCGGGACUUGGGGAGCGAGGGAUGCAACAUGGUGCAUCUGGGAGGCCUGCUAACUGGCUAACUUCUCCGGCGUUCCUCCCGGCCGAGGCGUGGGCACAGAAUAGCGCAGUUUGAAGACAUCAUUUUCCAGUUUUGGAGCCGACUAAUGAACUAGUUCUUAAGUGAAAGGCAUUUAACACGACUGUGCAUCUACAGGUACUAGGUUUCCAAGAUGCCUUUCCAGACUAAAACCCACACAUGUGAGCCGCUGGCCGGACAAACAUCUGGCACCUAACGUGGGGCUGAAAAACAGCAGAGGACAUUUGGAAGAAACACUGCUGGUUUGGAGCUCCAUAGAAGAAGAAAAUAAUUAAAGGAAAUUCAUACCAGAGAAGGAAGCUGCAGCUCCUCUCCUCUGGAUCUUUAUGACCACACCAGGAAGCAUUGUGAUCUGCAGUCACUGCCAACCUGCAGGAUAACACAGCUUGUUCCUCUGGGAACUGCCCUGCAGUGUCUGCAUACAGCCACCCUCGACCUGUCUGCCUGGUCUUUGCAACCUCUAGUGGCUGUUGUUCCACAAUGUGUUGUGAAGAGACCUGAAUGGUUUGCACCAAAACACAAACACAAACCAUUGGGAGAGUGAUUGGUGAAGUGAUGGACAUUUACUCGGGCAAAGGCAUGCAUGUAAAAUAGUCCCUAUCUGGAUGGACCUACGCCUGUGGCAGGAAGUUCACUGGUCAAUUACCUGCUGACUGAAGUGGCCUAUUUUCUUCUGACCCCCUGCUUCUCUCUUCCCCUCUCCGCCCUGAAAGCUGUUUGGGCAUAGGGAGGUCUUGACCUGAGGAAACCAUCUUGGGUAACCAAGGCAAGGAAAGGGAAUAUGCAACACCUAGGAGAUUUCAGCAAACAGUAGAAUCAUGCCAACGUAAUCUGUGUUAAAAUGCUUGGAAUGUGGGAGCCGCCGGUGAUGUCUGUUGUCUGUGUGUCUCCAGUAAUCCUUUCUUUUUUAAGUGCAGCAAAGCCAAGCCUGGAAACCAGGCCAAGCGCCUGCCACUUACCUUAAAUUUAUCAGCCACUUUGAGAUUAAAACCCCUGAAAGCUGCUGCACAGUGAAAGCAAGGCCUCCUUCACAUUAAAGGCAAAUCGCAACUCUGGGUUUGCUGUGAUCUCUCUCUCUCUCUCUCUCUCUCUCUCUCUCUCUCUUUCUCUCUCUUCUUUUUUCCCAGUUUUUCACAGUGUGGACUUUUUUCUCUCUCCUCUUCCCAUUUAUGCUUCCAUGUAGAAGCCAAUAGUUAUAGCAUCUUGGCCAAGCAUUCAUUAAGGUUUAUAAGAACAAAAUUUAUGGUUAUUAAGAAGUUGGUGAAAGACCGUGAGAGGAGCCCCUCGCUCAGGCCUUGGGACAAUAACAGACACCCAAGAACUCAUGAGAGACCAAGCUUGAUGCAAACCACAUGAGGCUUUAUUCGGGGAAAGCCAGAGCUCUGGGGUCGACUCAUAUCCCACACAGGGGUACAGGAGUCGACCCUGAGGAGAAAGGGAGCCCAGUUUUUAUAGGUGCUCAGGGGGGAAAGGGAAAUGGGGAGAGUCGGGGAUUUCCAGACCUAAACAAUGUCUAUUCUCAAGAAAUGGGUAUGGGAGGGGUACAAGGAAAGAGUCUGGUACAGGUGCAGCAACUCCAGAUUGACCCUGACUAUGGUUGCUGGGGAGAUUUUCCAACUCUAUCCCACCAACCAAUAUCACAAACACCUGGCAGUGAGGUGCAGCAGUGGGCACACAUCUGGGUUCAAGGAACGGUCAGAACAUUGGCAGACACACGGGUUCAAGGAGUGGCCAGAGCAUUGUGCACCUCUAUUUUUCUAAAUCAGUGAUGCUAGUUCUGCUAACAGUGACAUCUAUCUUGCCAAUUUCAGGGCUUCUGUGACCUUUUACAUUCUGUCAGGAUCUUUCAUUGGCACAGAGGCCGAUUGUUGCUAGAAAACACACACACACACACACACACACACACACACACACGAGAAAUACAACCCUAACAAUGGCCAGUACUAUAGAGCAGCGGUCUGAGGGAAAUUAAAUACUAUUAGAAAAUACUUACUCUACUGUUCUGGGUCUUUUCGUUUUAUGGAUCUGUAGGUUUUGGGAACAAGUAUUCUGAUGAA